UUGGAGGGCAAGUCUGGUGCCAGCAGCCGCGGUAAUUCCAGCUCCAAUAGCGUAUAUUAAAGUUGUUGCAGUUAAAAAGCUCGUAGUUGAAUUUCGGGAUCAAUGUUUCGGUCAUGCCCUUGGUAUGUACUGAUAUUAUUGGUUUCUCACCUUCUAAAGAACCGUAAUGCCAUUAAUUCGGUGUCACGGGGAAUUAGGACUGUUACCUUGAAAAAAUUAGAGUGUUUAAAGCAGGCUCACGCUUGAAUACAUUAGCAUGGAAUAAUGAAAUAGGACAUCCGAUUCUAUUUUGUUGGUUUCUAGGAUCGAUGUAAUGAUUAAUAGGGAUAGUUGGGGGCAUUAGUAUUCAAUUGUCAGAGGUGAAAUUCUUGGAUUUAUUGAAGACUAACUACUGCGAAAGCAUUUGCCAAGGAUGUUUUCAUUAAUCAAGAACGAAAGUUAGGGGAUCGAAGACGAUCAGAUACCGUCGUAGUCUUAACCAUAAACUAUGCCGACUAGGGAUCGGAUGAUGUUAAUUUUUUAAUGACUCAUUCGGCGCCUUACGGGAAACCAAAG
rnacentral:rRNA from 1 species